AUACCGGAUAGAGCAUUGAUAGCUGGAAUGCACGAUGCUCGAAAGCUGAGGCGCCAAAGGGUAGGUCUGCGGCCGAUUAGGUUGUUGUUGAUGUAAUGGAUCAACAAGCCUCCGAUCGGUAUGGGUUGUGAGAGCAAUAUCCCAGAGAUGGGUUCUGAGAAAAGAACCCAGGUCCUACGGGACGCAUCAGGCGCGAAAACUUUACAAUGUGCGAAAGCACGAUAAGGGAACUCUGAGUGCCUCCAAAGGAGGCUGUUCAGGUGUCUAAAAAGCAUCUGAAGUAAGGGCUGGGCAAGACCGGUGCCAGCCGCCGCGGUAACACCGGCAGCCCAAGUGGUGGCCACUUUUACUGGGUCUAAAGCGUUCGUAGCCGGCCAUGUAAGUUCCUUGGGAAAUUUGACCGCUUAACGGUUAAGCUUCCAGGGAAUACUGCUUGGCUUGGGACCGGGAGAGGUCAGAGGUACCUCAAGGGUAGGGGUGAAAUCCGUUAAUCCUUGGGGGACCGCCAGUAGCGAAGGCGUCUGACCAGACCGGAUCCGACGGUGAGGGACGAAGGCUAGGGUAGCGAACCGGAUUAGAUACCCGGGUAGUCCUAGCUGUAAACGAUGCGGGCUA
rnacentral:rRNA from 1 species